CCCUUAGACACUCUAGGCGGCACGCGCGCUACAAUGGGCGGAAGAACGUGUUACUGCCUCCGAAAGGAGGGGUGAAUCACGAAUUCUUGCCCGUGAAUGGGAUAGUUUGUUGCAAUUUUCGGACUUGAACUAGGAAUCCCUUGUAAACAUGCUCAAGAAUAGCGUGUUGAAUACGUCCCUGCCGUUUGUACACACCGCCCGUCGUUUCUUCCGACUGAUACUCAUUGUGAGUUGCAAGGACCCUUUAUUAGGAAAUUGCUGCAAAUGCUUUGUAUUGGAGGAAGAAAAAGUCGUAACA
rnacentral:rRNA from 1 species